rnacentral:lncRNA from 1 species
UUCCAAUUCAGUCAUGUCAAUGCUGAACUUAAAACAGAAUACAAAUCCUGAAAACUUUAAUGUUUACAAUAUGUUCUAUCUUCUAUCCUGCUGCAAAUAUAAUUAUUGCAUAUAAGAAUUCUCUACUGAAAAUUGUUUGAUUUUAACAAUAAUUCAUGCCUAGAUUUUUUUUGCCCUUUUCUUCAUUAUUGUGAAUUCCAAGUUAUGUUAUUAAACAAAAAUAUUAACAUAUUAUUUAUAAAAUUAUUGAUUUGUGUUCUUUUCUGGAUUACCUUGUGCUGAUGGUUUCAUAGGAAAUAACUUCUUUAUAACAUUUGCAUUGCUUUUGAUGAGCAUUGCUUCAGAUGUCUUUACAAUUUACAGAUGACUUUACAAAUGCAGCUUAACUUUGGAGCCUGCUGAAUGUGUUUACUGCCCUAGAUUCUAAACACCUGUAUCUUGAAAGAAACUGCUGUGCAAGGCACAACCUACUGAGUCAUUUUCAAAACAUUGAGUACAGGGAGCAGGUGUUCAGUUGUCAGUAAUGGAAUAAAAUAAAGUUACAAACUGGGUUAGUUAAUAAUAUGAGGUGCAUAAACUAUAUUUCCAGACUUGCAGUUAAAUUUCUUUAUUUAAUUUUCAAAAUUACUAAAAUACUCUACUCUUUGAAGAUGAACUUCACCUGAAUAUAAUAGAUGUCUCACUCCAUAUCUAUUAAUCUCAACAUAAUUUCUGAUGCAUUAAACCAUGGCAGAUUACCCAUUUUCUCUUUACCUCUAGGAUAACUAAGAUACCAGAAAUAUUUAUUCCAAGAGAAGAUGCAAUGUGGUCACUUCAUAAAUCAUCACCUUCGAAGACUAGCACAACUGGUCAAAGGAAUUUGUGAAGCUGCUAUUUGACAUCACUUUAAGCAAAAGAAAAGAAAAGAGAAGGAAGAAAGAAAGAGAGAAAAAUAAAUAAAGGGGAAAAAGAAUACUACAGUGUGUUAUUUUGGCAUCAUAUCAGACACUCUUUCUGAAGACAAUCAUCUCAUCUGUGAACCCUGCACUUUUGAGAUCAGAGGAUGGGGCUGUGGAAAUCUUGGAGCUGGAGGAGAGAUCUCCUCAGGGUUAUAUGAUUUUUAUUUCUCCAUGAAAUGGACUGGGAUCCUCCCACUCAGAUAUCCAUGA